UAAGAUUCCACAAACAAACUUGGUAACUGCAAAAACGAGACACAGCCUAGCAUAUGAAUCACCAUAAACUAUCGAUCCGGCGGCGCAACCCUAAUCCCCUUUCCCGGUUUACUACAAGACCCCUCCUCGACUAAUCGGGUGCUCCAUCUCGGCUUCUACCAAAUGCAAAUCCUCCUCUUCCUCGAGGAAACUAAUUUUUUCCAAACCGAAUUUCAAGGAGAGGGACGUGAUUGAGAUGUAAUCAUGUUUCGCAGCUGCCAAGGAGAGAUGCGGUGGCUUUGCGAACCACAACUGUUAGCCGCAACAUGUUUCUAGGUAGAUUUCGAUGGUAUGUUUUGCGGAUGAAAAUAGUUACGGGGUUGGAUUUUGGGGCAUCAAUUUAGGCGAGGUUACUAACGAUUUAUUGGUUCCAAUUAUGAGGAGCAUUUGAUAAAGUCAGUUUCUGUGGCUCUGAUCUGAUGCGCUGCAAGAGUUGAGAUUUUCUGGAGCGUCAGGGUUUGUGCAAGUGCAACUCAAAAUGUGACCUUCAUUCCCUCUUUUAAGUCUUAAAUGUUUCUAAAAACUUUGAUUUUGCAGAAUCAUUGUAUGCUACCAAAGUGCAGGGCUUUAGAGUGACAUACAGACAGUUUAUUGGAAUUUAGGAGAUACAUGAAGUGGCCAGUCAAUAACCUUCAACACAAAGUUACAUUUUAGUGAAACAAUAACAUUAUUUGUGUAGCUGGGAUUUCUGUUGAUUCAUUUUCAUGUAAGUCUCACAUUUAUCACAACUAUUGGUGAUGACAAAUUUAAUGUUUUAAGUAGAGGAGUUCAAGCCCUGCAGAUCAGGUACUCUAUAGGCUUGUAUUUAGGUGCAUCUUAAGUCAUCUCCACAUAAGUCAAGAUAAAAUGCAUUAUAGUUUAUAGAAAACACUUGUGGAGCCAUCAGUAUGUCAGCUUCAGUUUAGCUUUCGGUUUAUAACAAGUAUUUAUCAUUUUGACUUUU